rnacentral:lncRNA from 1 species
CAUAAAAACGGAAACUGGUUUCGCUUUAUCUCUCACGCCAUCGUGAUGAUGCAUAACAUCAGAGAUGAGAUGUGACUUGUUUCGCAGUCUGGCUUGUUUCACAAUCGACUUUAAACAAACUAGUAUAAACCAAGGAAGUAAUUUAAUAGAAGAUAUAUCCGGAAAAUCAUUCAUUUAAACGAAUUCAUUCAGUUUAAGCAGAAAUAGUGCAAUCCUAUUUCCACAUGAUAACCUCGUCGAAUAUUUUUUAUUUCAAUAAAGAAAGGAUUAAAACUGGUGCAGGAAUGCAAAUAUGAAGAAUUUGGGCUACCAAGCAAAAUAUAAUGUUAAGAAGCUGCUUUCUUGGAACCGGACCAUUCGUAUUGGACAUUUGUCAUUGAUUAUUUCUAAAACUAAAUCUAUUUGAAAAAUAAAGAACAGUUUUUGGAAGUUUUGGUUUUCUAGGAAAUUAAUACACGGGUACGAUGAGAAACUAAAAAUUGGGAUAGGAAUUGCCUAUAAAAAGGAAACAUUGUUGAUUAUAUUAAUAUCUUUUCGCCCUUGUGCACUUACACAUUACGGUUACUAAACAAAAUGGCAGACUUACUGCGUGGUCUGAAGUUGACAAAUAAAGGAAGGAAAGAUAUCGUUACUGUUUCUUGGAAACAAGGCAGUUUUAUUGGUUUUGGAGGGGACCGGACUCAGGUCUACGAAUUGUAUGAAUAUGAAACGCCACAAGGAAGUCUUCUUCCGGUGUACAUACAAAAAGAUUUUGACAAACCCGACAUCCUCGUCUGCGAUGGGCGUAUCCAGUAUGGAAUGAACAACGGAGUGCUCUUUAUUGUGUAUCAUGACAAGGAGCAGAAACCCUAUCAACAUCGCUUCGUUUCCAAUCAGAUGCAAAAGGCGGCAUAUCUAGUAAACGAAUUGGUAAAAAAGCAGGCAUACGGCCUUGACCUGUCAUGGGUAGCUGGAGACUAUCUUCGUGAUAUAUGAGCAAUUGUAUUAUCACGCUCGGUUACAUUAACUGUUAUAUACGGUGACUUAAUAUAUUCGCCUCAAUACGAAAACCAUUAUAUCAUGAAACAUCAGUAAACGUAUUUACUAUCUACCUUUUAAGAAAACAUUAAAAUUUGUGAUUUAUUCAUGAUGAAUCAUUUAUGUUUCAGCUUAAUCAUUAGUUCAUCAAAUAGCUCUAAUUGUACUUUAAAGUAUUAUGGAUAUAACUAUUUCACCUAUGAAAAAUAUAAACUGUAGAAACUACCACAAAUAAAAAAUAACGGAACUGUAA